AUGAAUUUGAAGGGGGAUCGGAAGUUGAAAUUCUUUCAUUUUGUACCCAAUAAUUUUUUUUGUCAUUAAUUAGUUCCCCGGAGCGCUACCGGCCGACCAUUCUACCUUUUACAAAAUCAUCAAAUGUACAGAAUAUUGUAAAAUUUCACAGAAACAAAGAUUCUGACUGGUCAAACAAUGAUUUGAUUGACAACAUUUUUGGAGACGAUAUGGCCAAAGUAACCCUGGAAAACAACAUGCAUGUUCUAAAACAACAAUCCUUGGAUAGAUUUCUUCAACGUGCUCCAUCUGUAACAAGCGUACACGCAGAUGUAGCAAUCCCAGAAGAUCCACAAGAGGGCAGUGUGUAUCAACUUGGCCCGCACGAUGUCCAACAUCCAAUGAAUGGGGGCAACAAUGGCUUGAUGAAUACAUGUAACAAUGUUUUAAUGACUGCAGCAGAAAAUCAUGAUGAUAUCCGCAAAGCGGCGCCAGUCCUGAUUCACAACCAUUCUGCAGAUACUGAUAUGAGUGUGUCUAUUUUGCGUGAAGGAUGUCUCAAGUUAAGAGAA